rnacentral:ncRNA from 2 species
AAAUAAUAUAAUGUAAUACGUCGUAUAAUAUUGGGGAUAUGGCCCAAGAGUUUCUACCGAGCUGCCGUAAAUAGCUUGACUACGAGGUAAAGUUUAAAAAUG